rnacentral:rRNA from 1 species
ACUCCGGUUGAUCCUGCCGGACCUGACUGCUAUCGGAACGGGACUAAGCCAUGCGAGUCUGCCAGUCUAAGCAUGUUGGCUGGCGGCGAACGGCUCAGUAACACGUAGUCAACCUGCCCUCGGGACGAGAACAAUCUCGGGAAACUGAGGCUAAUUCUCGAUAGGUCAAGAUUCCUGGAAUGGGUUUUGGUCUAAAGGCGGCGACAGCAUCUUGUUGCUAUCGCCCGAGGAUGGGACUGCGGCCGAUCAGGCUGUUGGUGGGGUAAAGGCCCACCAAACCAGUAACCGGUACGGGCUUUGAGAGAAGGAGCCCGGAGAUGGACACUGAGACAAGGGUCCAGGUCCUACGGGGCGCAGCAGGCGCGAAACCUUCGCAAUGCGCGCAAGCGCGACGAGGUUAUUCCGAGUGAUCUCCGCUGAGGAGAUCUUUUCUCAGAUCUAAAAAGUCUGGGGAAUAAGGGGAGGGCAAGUCUGGUGUCAGCCGCCGCGGUAAUACCAGCUCCUCGAGUGGUCAGGGCGUUUAUUGGGCCUAAAGCAUCCGUAGCCGGCUCAGUUGGUCUCCUGUUAAAUCCAACGGCUCAACCGUUGGUCUGCAGGAGAUACCGCUGGGCUAGGAGGCGGGAGAGGCGGACGGUACUCCGAGGGUAGGGGUAAAAUCCUUUGAUCCCCGGAAGACCACCAGUGGCGAAGGCGGUCCGCCAGAACGCGCUCGACGGUGAGGGAUGAAAGCUGGGGGAGCGAACCGGAUUAGAUACCCGGGUAGUCCCAGCUGUAAACGAUGCGAGCUAGGUGACACGACGCCUUCGGGGCAUCGUGGUGCCGCAGGGAAGCCGUUAAGCUCGCCGCCUGGGGAGUACGGACGCAAGUCUGAAACUUAAAGGAAUUGGCGGGGGAGCACCACAAGGGGUGAAGCCUGCGGUUCAAUUGGAGUCAACGCCGGGAACCUUACCGGGAGCGACAGCAGAUUGAAGGUCAAGCUGAAGACUUUACCAGACGAGCUGAGAGGAGGUGCAUGGCCGUCGCCAGCUCGUGCCGUGAGGCGUCCUGUUAAGUCAGGCAACGAGCGAGACCCCUGCUUUUAAUUGCUACCAGAGAUCGCAAGGUCUUUGGAGCUAGUUAGAAGGACUGCCGCCGCUAAGGCGGAGGAAGGAAGGGGCCACGGCAGGUCAGUAUGCCCCGAAACUCCCGGGCCACACGCGGGCUGCAAUGGUAAGGACAAUGGGUCCCAACCUCGAAAGAGUGAGGCAAUCCCCAAACCUUACCCCAGUUGUGACUGAGGGCUGCAACCCGCCCUCACGAAUCUGGAAUCCCUAGUAACCGCGUGUCACCAUCACGCGGUGAAUACGUCCCUGCUCCUUGCACACACCGCCCGUCGCUUCACCGAAGUUGGACUAGGACGAGGUUGUGUCUAAUUGGCGCCAUCGAAUCCUAGUUCGGCAACGGGGGAGAAGUCGUAACAAGGUGGCCGUAGGGGAACCUGCGGCCGGAUCACCUCCU